CCUCCCCCUCUCAAUCUUCUUCGUACAUGGACAUUAUCUCUCUCUUCUUGUCGUUCUAGCGUCACCUUCAUCCUCCCUCAACCAUCACCUACAUGCUAUAUCUGCUUCCUCCUUCUCGAGAAUCAUAUCUAGCCUAUUACCACUUGGACCCCCACACGACGCAUUAGCACAAAGUAUUUGGUUUACAGAAACUGCGAUAAAAAUUUGUGUGGUGAUAUUUUUGGGCACAUUAAUUGGGUGUUCAGCACUUGCCAAAGAUCUUAUGCGAGUUGUGAAGUUGUCUGCAGCAUCCUGGUCUGUGACAUUAGGAAGGGUCGGAUAGGGAAUAGAGGAUGGAAGUGUAUAAUUGCCUGUGUACUCAAGAAUAGCUGAUGUAUUGGUACUAUCAUAUGGAGCAUUGGAGUCAAAGAAAGGAGUAGCAGCUAUGUAAUAGUGACUUGGAGAUUGGUUUGCUGUGAGCAAAAUAUCCAUUGUUUGCCCUGGGGUUAUCAUGAUGUAACUUGUGGUUACAGGCUUUAUGUAUGCACCAUCAUGCGCCACAACUGUGAAAUUAUGUUUGGCGAUUCCAAAGAACAUUUCUUCAUUCAUCACUGCGUUUACUAGACGGAGAAGAUAUGUUUUUCCAUACUCAACUGUAAGUUUAUAUGAAGUAUCUGCAUCAUGAAAUUAUAAUGAUCAGUAAAUGAUGUGCAAGUUCUUUUCACUUA